AUUGAACGCUGGCGGCAUGCCUUACACAUGCAAGUCGAACGGCAGCACGGGAGCAAUCCUGGUGGCGAGUGGCGAACGGGUGAGUAAUAUAUCGGAACGUGCCCAGUCGUGGGGAUAACGUAGCGAAAGCUACGCUAAUACCGCAUACGAUCUAUGGAUGAAAGCGGGGGAUCGCAAGACCUCGCGCGAUUGGAGCGGCCGAUAUCAGAUUAGGUAGUUGGUGAGGUAGAGGCUCACCAAGCCGACGAUCUGUAGCUGGUCUGAGAGGACGACCAGCCACACUGGGACUGAGACACGGCCCAGACUCCUACGGGAGGCAGCAGUGGGGGAAUUUUUGGACAAUGGGCGCAAGCCUGAUCCAGCAAUGCCGCGUGCAGGAUGAAGGCCUCGGUUGUAACUAGCUUUGUUACGGU
rnacentral:rRNA from 1 species